rnacentral:rRNA from 1 species
AUGACCUGCCCACUGAUUGAAGGGCCGCGGUAAUUUGACCGUGCGAAGGUAGCAUAAUUAUUAGUCUUUUGAUUGGAGGCUGGAAUGAAUGGUUGGACGAGAUAUAUUCUGUAUGAAUUUAAUUAUUAGGUUAAAAAGCUUAAAUUUUUUUUUGGGACGAGAAGACCCUAUAGAUUUUUGUAUAUUUUAUUGGGGUGAUAGGAGGAUAAUAGAAAUUUAUUAGAUCCAGUUGAUUAUAAGAUUAAAUUACCUUAGGGAUAACAGCGUAAUCUUUUUUGAGAGUUCAAAUCGACAAUAAGGGUUGCGACCUCGAGUUGGAUUAAA